UACGAAGGGGGCUAGCGUUGCUCGGAAUCACUGGGCGUAAAGCGCACGUAGGCGGAUUGUUAAGUCAGGGGUGAAAUCCUGGAGCUCAACUCCAGAACUGCCUUUGAUACUGGCGAUCUCGAGUCCGGGAGAGGUGAGUGGAACUGCGAGUGUAGAGGUGAAAUUCGUAGAGAUCGGGAGGAACAUCAGUUGCGAAGGCGGCUCUCUGGACCAGCACUGACACUGAGGCACGAAAGCGUGGGGAGCAAACAGG
rnacentral:rRNA from 1 species